AGAGUUUGAUCAUGGCUCAGAUUGAACGCUGGCGGCAGGCCUAACACAUGCAAGUCGAGCGGUAGCACAGAGAGCUUGCUCUCGGGUGACGAGCGGCGGACGGGUGAGUAAUGUCUGGGAAACUGCCUGAUGGAGGGGGAUAACUACUGGAAACGGUAGCUAAUACCGCAUAAUGUCGCAAGACCAAAGUGGGGGACCUUCGGGCCUCAUGCCAUCAGAUGUGCCCAGAUGGGAUUAGCUAGUAGGUGGGGUAACGGCUCACCUAGGCGACGAUCCCUAGCUGGUCUGAGAGGAUGACCAGCCACACUGGAACUGAGACACGGUCCAGACUCCUACGGGAGGCAGCAGUGGGGAAUAUUGGACAAUGGGGGCAACCCUGAUCCAGCCAUGCCGCGUGAGUGAUGACGGCCUUAGGGUUGUAAAGCUCUUUUCUCCGGGACGAUAAUGACGGUACCGGAGGAAUAAGCCCCGGCUAACUUCGUGCCAGCAGCCGCGGUAAUACGAAGGGGGCUAGCGUUGCUCGGAAUUACUGGGCGUAAAGGGAGCGUAGGCGGACAUUUAAGUCAGGGGUGAAAUCCCGGAGCUCAACUCCGGAACUGCCUUUGAUACUGGGUGUCUUGAGUGUGAGAGAGGUGAGUGGAACUCCGAGUGUAGAGGUGAAAUUCGUAGAUAUUCGGAAGAACACCAGUGGCGAAGGCGACUCACUGGCUCAUUACUGACGCUGAGGCUCGAAAGCGUGGGGAGCAAACAGGAUUAGAUACCCUGGUAGUCCACGCCGUAAACGAUGAUUGCUAGUUGUCGGGGAGCUUGCUCUUCGGUGACGCAGCUAACGCAUUAAGUGCCCCGCCUGGGGAGUACGGCCGCAAGGCUAAAACUCAAAGGAAUUGACGG
rnacentral:rRNA from 1 species